rnacentral:rRNA from 1 species
GACGAACGCUGGCGGCGUGCUUAACACAUGCAAGUCGAACGGGUCUGCCCUGUUUUUUGCGGGGUGGGUCAGUGGCGAACGGGUGAGUAACACGUGAGUAACCUGCCCCUCACUUCUGGAUAACCGCUUGAAAGGGUGGCUAAUACGGGGUGUUCUGGCUGUGCCGCAUGGUGUGGCUGGGAAAGAUUCACUUUUGUGGUGCUUUGGUGGGGGAUGGGCUCGCGGCCUAUCAGCUUGUUGGUGGGGUGAUGGCCUGCCAAGGCUUUGACGGGUAGCCGGCCUGAGAGGGUGGGCGGUCACACUGGGACUGAGAUACGGCCCAGACUCCUGCGGGAGGCAGCAGUGGGGGGUAUUGCACAAUGGGCGGAAGCCUGAUGCAGCGACGUCGCGUGAGGGAUGGAGGCCUUCGGGUUGUGAACCUCUUUCGCCGGUGAAGAAGGUCCUGCUCUUUGUGGUGGGGUUGACGGUAGCCGGGUUAUGAAGCGCCGGCUAACUACGUG